rnacentral:rRNA from 1 species
UGGGGAAUAUUGGACAAUGGGCGAAAGCCUGAUCCAGCAACGCCGCGUGAGGGAUGACGGCCUUCGGGUUGUAAACCUCUUUCAGUACCGACGAAGCGCCAAUAACGGUGGUGACGGUAGGUACAGAAGAAGGACCGGCCAACUACGUGCCAGCAGCCGCGGUAAUACGUAGGGUCCGAGCGUUGUCCGGAAUUAUUGGGCGUAAAGGGCUCGUAGGCGGUCUGUCGCGUCGGGAGUGAAAACUUACAGCUUAACUGUGAGCGUGCUUCCGAUACGGGCAGACUUGAGGCAUUCAGGGGAGAACGGAAUUCCUGGUGUAGCGGUGAAAUGCGCAGAUAUCAGGAGGAACACCGGUGGCGAAGGCGGUUCUCUGGGAAUGUCCUGACGCUGAGGAGCGAAA